AACGAACGCUGGCGGCAGGCUUAACACAUGCAAGUCGAACGCCCCGCAAGGGGAGUGGCAGACGGGUGAGUAACGCGUGGGAAUCUACCCAGAUCUACGGAACAACAGUUGGAAACGACUGCUAAUACCGUAUACGCCCUACGGGGGAAAGAUUUAUCGGAUUUGGAUGAGCCCGCGUUGGAUUAGCUAGUUGGUGGGGUAAUGGCCUACCAAGGCGACGAUCCAUAGCUGGUCUGAGAGGAUGAUCAGCAACACUGGGACUGAGACACGGCCCAGACUCCCACGGGAGGCAGCAGUGGGGAAUAUUGGACAAUGGGCGCAAGCCUGAUCCAGCCAUGCCGCGUGAGUGAUGAAGGCCUUAGGGUUGUAAAGCUCUUUCACCGAUGAAGAUAAUGACGGUAGUCGGAGAAGAAGCCCCGGCUAACUUCGUGCCAGCCGCCGCCGUAGCAC
rnacentral:rRNA from 1 species